rnacentral:rRNA from 1 species
AACGAACGCUGGCGGCAGGCUUAACACAUGCAAGUCGAACGAAGUCUUCGGACUUAGUGGCGCACGGGUGAGUAACACGUGGGAAUAUACCUCUUGGUGGGGGAUAACGUUGGGAAACUGACGCUAAUACCGCAUACGCCCUUCGGGGGAAAGAUUUAUCGCCGAGAGAUUAGCCCGCGUCCGAUUAGCUAGUUGGUAAGGUAAUGGCUUACCAAGGCGACGAUCGGUAGCUGGUCUGAGAGGAUGAUCAGCCACACUGGGACUGAGACACGGCCCAGACUCCUACGGGAGGCAGCAGUGGGGAAUAUUGGACAAUGGGGGCAACCCUGAUCCAGCCAUGCCGCGUGAGUGAUGAAGGCCCUAGGGUUGUAAAGCUCUUUCGGGUGGGACGAUGAUGACGGUACCACCAGAAGAAGCCCCGGCUAACUUCGUGCCAGCAGCCGCGGUAA